CACCCGUCAGCGCCGGCCAAUCUAACGUAACUUCGCGAGAUCCGGGCAGGGAGGCGCCCUUCGGCCGGUGCGCAUGCGCCCUGGGCCUGCGCCCGCCCCAGGAAGAGCGCUCCCGCGAACCGCGGCGGGGGCGGCCCGGUGACCGGAGGGAAGCGGGUGUGGCCCGGGCCUCCCGGCCAGAGGGGGGUUGGGGCCGACCUGGCAGCGAGGAUGCGGGGAGGGGAGGUAGCGGCGGCCGGCUGAGGACUCCUGAGGCUCCGGGGAGUCCUUUGGCCGGGCUACAAAGCUCUCCUGGGCAGACCUGCCUUCCGCUCUGCCGAGUCGUUUGCUCAGGGCGGAGGGUUUUCCUAUUGGCUGCGUUAUUUGAAUGGAAUGGAGGACAGGUCGUGAGUUAGGUGCUUGGGGUUGCUCUCUCUGAGGAACUCGGAUGAACUUGAACAUGUCAGUGUUCCUAACGACCUUUUUCAGCGUGUGGCGUGUGUCGCCGAGGGCUUCAGGAACGUUUGCUGAGGUGCCCACCCUAUUGACAAGGGGUUGAGCAGCUGUAAUUGCUGUGGCUUCCUGCCAGUCCCCGCUGUAGAAACUUCCUCCUGUACGCUGGCUAGGCAGACAAACAGAUUAAGGGACAGCAAGAAUUCUUUCAUCCACUGGUUCAGCCCCCACAUGCCCGAGACCAAGUAUUUGAGACAUCAUCUGCUUGCCCAGGUUGUGCAGGUACAGGAAGCUGGAUCAGAAACAGAGUAGCAGGGACUCCAACCAGGUGUCUACAUUUCAUAGAGACAGAAAAAUAUUCAAGAGAAGGAUAUUGAUAAAAUGACCAACUGCUAACUGGAGAAGAAGAAAAUUACUCCCCAAAUACCAACGUUUAGAUUUCAGAGCAGGACUGGAAAUGGAACAGCUGGGACACGAACUGGCACCUCUAUGG